rnacentral:rRNA from 1 species
UACGAGGGGGGCGAGCGUUGUUCGGAAUUAUUGGGCGUAAAGGGUGCGUAGGCGGCCUGACAAGUCUGAUGUGAAAUCCCUGGGCUCAACCCAGGGCCUGCAUCGGAAACUGUCGGGCUUGAGUAUGGGAGAGGUGAGUGGAAUUUCCGGUGUAGCGGUGAAAUGCGUAGAUAUCGGAAGGAACAUCAGUGGCGAAAGCGACUUCCUGGACCAGUACCGACGUUCAGGCACGAAAGCGUGGGGAGCAAACAGG